UUUUAAUAUUCCUCUUGUGUCCCAUCAGCUGUAUAAAUUAAGUAAAUUCAAUCAAAGGCUAUCCCUUAUCUAUUGCCUGCGUGUGCCUUGCCGGGGUGCUUCAGAGAGCUGGAUCUGUUACAAAGCGAGAGGGGAAGGGAACAGAAAUCUGAGAUCUCUCCCGAUAUAUCAAAGUCAGGCGGAGGGAGAGCAUUGAUCGCAACAUCCUCAGCUUUGAAUUACAAGUGAAUGAGAGCUGACUUAUUCCUUUUUUAAGGGAGAAAUGCACGCACAGGAGUCAGGAUCCAAGAAGGACGAGAAGAGGGAAGUGGCAGCAUGCUUAUUUGAUGCUGCAAAUGAUACGCUGGUGCCGGUAAUUUCUAGGCAGGCUGCAGCUGUCGAUGCUGCAGGCAGGGAGGUGGAGGUGCAAAGGCUGCUCCAGGGCUCAGAAGAAGAAAAGCCAGGCCUGGCUCAGUGCCUGGCAGGGGCGCCAGGGCAGGAGGGGUGCGGGGUGGGAGCAGGACAGUUUGGGAAGGUUUGGCGCUGCUGUUAACACUCACAUAAAUUCAGGGCUGUGGGACGCAGCUCGUCUUCCCCACGGGACCGCAGGGCAGGGCAAGCAGAAGGGUGGCAGAUCUUCUGCUGGGCUUAAUGUUAAAGCAAGGAGAGCCUGGGCUUAUUUAGCCCUGCCAGCACCAUCUGAUGGGCCUCGCUGGUUAAUUGGGAGCAGCCUGAGCCCUCCCGCUGAAGCAGGGCAGCUCCUGCCUGCAGCUGGAUGCUGGGCGCUUCCCCAGCCGAGCAGGUUGCAGGUUGCCUGGCAUUUUAAAGGCUUUUCCAUUCCUUUUCACUGUAAUAAAUAAAUAAAUAACACUUAGAAAGACAUCAAGCUUUAAGUGACGAAAUUGGAGCCUUGAACGAUGUAUCUAUCUGGUUUCCUGCAUCUCCAUCCCAUGCUGCUUCCCUAAUGACUAGUUCAGAGAAGGCACGAGUGGAGCUUUUCUCCUCUGCUCAGCUGCUUCUCUUCACUUCGUUCAUCGGCGCUGCCGAGUUUUCAGGUCCCUAAUUCUCUGUUGAAUGCACUUGAAAUCAGCUCAACAGCUUUGAGGGAGGGACAGACUGACAGGUGGACAGACACGCGCUGAUUGCUCCACUGUUAUUUUCUUCAGCAAGAUGAUUGGAAAAUAGAUUAAGGUAAAUAUGACCACUGUGCCCAGGAGCCUUGCAGAAACCUUGCUCCUCUCUCCUCCUAGAAGUCCCCUCUCUGCCAUUCCUACCCACAUCCUGCCCUGCCCCAAAUAAUUAAGAGCACCGAAGUUCUGGUUCCCUUCUCACACGGCAGUCCUGAAAGCAGCAAAGGAACCCCCAGAGUCUGGCCCCGACACAAGCACGAAUGCAGAGGAAAGAGAGAAACCCCAGCAAAACCACGCUGCCUGGCAGAGAAAUAACCGCGCUUCCUCUCUCUCUGCUCCCCUCUCCCAACUGCUUAGAAAUGCUGAGCGUUCGCUGGCUGCCUCUGAAUCCCCCUCCAGACAAAACCGCAGCAUAAUGAGACGUGGAAGAAGCGAGCCACUCGCCUAAAGACACCACUUCUUUCCUCCCCUCCUCGCCCUGCAAGGUGGGGGGAAGCUCAGAGGCGCCCGCGCUGCCCCAGAGCCCUUCGUUUAAGCAGCGUGCAGCAACCACCACGCAACCCUCCCAAGGAUUUCAGCUCAUUUUCCCCAAGGCUGGUGUAGCAUUAAGUUCUUAUAUCCAAAAGCAGCCUUUCAAAUUGCUGCCUGGUGCGUUACAUAAAUCCUCACCAGGAUCCUCGGAGACUGCAAGCAAUUACACUAGGUGCUGAGGAAGCAAGUGAGAGCUCAGAGAAAGGUUAAAGGAAGAAGAAGAAAAACAGAAACAACAAAAAUCCCAGCCCUGGUAGCAGCUUGGAGUGGGAGGGAAACCCGCACGCCGAGCCAAGGCAGCGUGACUUGCGUGGAAAUCACAUCUUGGCCCAUUCAGGCCAGGGCCCAAGGGAAUUUCACCCACAUUUAACUGUGAUACUAUUUGGUGAUGAUCUGUAGAGCUGAUAUAGGCCCUAAAACAGCAGAAACAGUUGUCAUCGGUGGCCCAGAGAGUCUGUAGAUGGCUCCUAGAAGCCCAUGCUCGUGAAGGCAUUAUCUGGAUGCCCUCCAGCCAGGGACAGUGCUCUCCGUGUAGACCUCCCUAUCUCCUCCACUCACCUAUCUGGAUACGCACAGGUCUCGGGAAGCACUAUUCACACCACCUCACCUUGCUGCUCAGCAAAAAAUGGCAAGCAGCUGCACUUCGUCGCCCUGCAGCUGGCUGAAGGGGUGAGAGCAGUUCAGAGCUCACGCUGACCUGCCCGGGGCACUGCCGGAGCCCUUACAGGAUCUGUCUGAGAUCAAGCGAGGAACCAGCACCCAGAGACUGAACUGAGACGUGAAAUUGCCCUGGCUGGGUCUGUGGUGCAGAGGUGAUGUCUCCGGUCAAGGAUCGAGGGUCCUCCGUGCAGAGCUCUGGGUGAGCUCCUCGGCCCUGCACACACAACCACUCUGCUUUAGGUCUGGCUCCAGCUGAGCCACCGUGGGGCUGAAAUCAGCUGUAAACACAAGUUGGUACCUUCCCUGCCUUCCCAUUUCCCCUCAGGGCAAUAAUCUCCAUUAGCGAACGUCUCCAAAAUGCUUCCAGCUCAGCGUGUGGAGCCUGAUGUCUCCAAAGCCUCCCCCACACUUGAUGCAGAAGUGCUGUUUUCCCAGAGCUGCCCCGUGCCUAAUGCAGGCGAGUCUGCUCUCCCUGGUGCUUUGCUCCCCGUUAGUCCCGUAAUGCUCUUAUCCUUCACAGCCUGACAGCU